ACUUCAGCUCUCCUGCUCGUUCGCAUCUCGGUAGCCGAGCGUCGCCACCUCCUCCGAUCCUUGCCCCUUUGCUGCCCAUCGACCUCCCUCCUUGCCGAUGCGCUGGACCCGAUGGGCCGCGGUCGAGCUUGCUGGCGCAGCGCUCGAGUUGUACGUCCCACCUCCGCUCCAGUUCGCCCCCUCCACAUAGAAGCAGGGGAGCAGGUGCCGGCGACGCGGAUGGCAUGAGAGGAGACGGAGGCGUACGCGCGGGACUGGCCGGCAGUGGGAUGCAAGAUAUCGAAGAUGAAAAUUGCUGCCGCGUGCUCGAAAUCAUCACCUCCGGCAUUUAAAUGUGUGAAAGACUGGUUCUUAAAUUUAUUUUUGCUUUCACUGUAACUACAUUGUUGUGCUUCUUCUUUGUUCCAUAGCUAGAAGCUAGACUGGAAACAACUGUGGCUGUUUCAGGCUUUUUUUUUAUCUUGGUGAAUUAAUGUAAAUAUAUUUAGUUAUGGUUAUAUCCGGUUUUCGAUGGUUUGUUCUU
rnacentral:sRNA from 1 species